rnacentral:rRNA from 1 species
CACGUAGUUAGCCGGGACUUCUUCUGCAGGUACCGUCACUGAUCGCUUCGUCCCUGCCGAAAGAGGUUUACAACCCGAGGGCCGUCAUCCCUCACGCGGCGUCGCUGCAUCAGGCUUUCGCCCAUUGUGCAAGAUUCCCCACUGCUGCCUCCCGUAGGAGUCUGGACCGUAUCUCAGUUCCAGUGUGGCUGGUCGUCCUCUCAGACCAGCUACCCGUCGAAGCCUUGGUAGGCCGUUACCCCACCAACGAGCUGAUAGGCCGCGGGCCCAUCCCUGACCGGCGGACCUUUCCUCACGGAGCCAUGAGGUUCCGUGAGAGUAUCCGGUAUUAGCUCCGGUUUCCCGGGGUUAUCCCAGGGUCAGGGGCAGGUUGCCCACGUGUUACGCACCCGUUCGCCGCUGUCCCCGAAGGUGGGUUACCCCUCCUACGGUUCUCGCUCGACUUGCAUGUGUUAAGCACGCCGCCAGCGUUCGUCCUGAGCCAGGAUCAAACUCU